rnacentral:pre_miRNA from 1 species
AAGGGGUGUUUGGAAUGAAGUUUGAUCCAAGAUCCUUGUCUCUCCCGUUCAUUUAGUAAUGUUACUGCUAGGUUUCGCUAUGUAUUGAUCAGUGUAUACACAGCAGCUACGAGCUAGGCCUUGUGUUUCAGAUUUUAGCUUCAAUAUAGAGUGAGAGUGAUAGAGUUUGAUUCAAGAUCCAUCUCAUGUGUGCUAGCUAGCUUUUAAAUUUUUAAUCAUAUCCCUACUUCCUGUUAAUUCUUAGGUUUUAUCUUGCAAGUUAUUAUAUUUAGUAAACAUCAUGAACUGAUCUCGGACCAGGCUUCAUUCCUUACACCGAA